GUCUGGUUAAUUCCGAUAACGAACGAGACUCUAGCCUAUUAAAUAGUUCGACGAUUUUCGAUAUGUCGUCGCAACUUCUUAGAGGGACGAGUGGCUUUUAGCCACACGAGAUUGAGCAAUAACAGGUCUGUGAUGCCCUUAGAUGUCCGGGGCCGCACGCGCGCUACACUGAAGGAAUCAGCGUGGAUACCCCCCUGGUCCGAAAGGAUUGGGAAACCCGUUGAAUCUCCUUCGUGCUAGGGAUUGGGGCUUGUAAUUCUUCCCCAUGAACGAGGAAUUCCCAGUAAGCGCGAGUCAUAAGCUCGCGUUGAUUACGUCCCUGCCCUUUGUA
rnacentral:rRNA from 1 species